GACGAACGCUGGCGGCGUGCUUAAUACAUGCAAGUAGAACGAGUUGCGAACAGGUGAGAGACGCGUAGGUAACUGCCUCAUAGCGGGGGAGACCUAUGGGAAACGAGAGCUAAUACAGCGUACUGUGAGAUGUCCCUGAUGUGGAUUAGCUAGUUGGUGGGGUAAAGGCUCACCAUGGCGACGCUACAUAGCCGACCUGAGAGGGUGAUCGGCCACACUGGAACGGAGACACGGCCCAGACUCCUACGUGAGGCAGCAGUAGGGAAUCUGCGGCAAUGGACGGAAGUCUGACCGAGCAACGCCGCGUGAGUGAUGACGGUGUUCGGAUCGUAAAGCUCUGUUUUUCGAGAAGCGGUACCUAACCAGAAAGGCACGGCUAACUACGUGCCAGCAGCCGCGGUAAUUC
rnacentral:rRNA from 1 species